rnacentral:lncRNA from 1 species
UCCGACCCUGAUGUCUCAAGAACAAAAUUUUUUUAUUUUCGUAAGCACCUCCUUAAACGCCAUGCCAUAGUGGAACUUUUUUUUCUUAACUUUUGUGGUGAAAUUUCUCUAUUUUUACACUUUCGUCUAAAAAACAGUCAAUCAAUUUGACUAACACGGUCUUCUAUCAUCUGAUGCUACCCGAUCAGUGAGUCACUGUUGUAGGAAGAUUAGCUGCACACAUGACACAACUAGAUCGACGAGAUCAAAGUUUAGGUUGCACGAACAUGACGAUGCGAGCACUUGGACG